AUGGUUAUUUCAUUAUUCUUAUAAACCAUCAAAGAGUGCUUCUGUACAAAGGAUAAUGCUACAUAGCCAAUCUGGCUGACAAUGUUGUUGACAAUGUGGUUUAAAAUUACACAUAUAUCCCUUGAUACAAUUACUCAUAUACCCCUAAAACAUUACAGAGUCGGACGAGUCUUUUCAGCUCAAAAUUAAUACCCACCCCGUCCAGCUUCAUCAUCCUCACCUACUCUCUCUCUCUCUCUCUCCAGUCGCCUAGCUUCUUCCUCCCCCCCUCUCUCUCCAGCUGUGAUGUUCAGAAAGCAACGAGUCUUAUGCAUUAUGGAAGGAAUUUUUCGAAUAAGCCCAGAAAACAGCCACAAGGAGAAUGCGAGGAGGCGAAGUUGGAAGUUUUGUUUUGAGCUCAAGUGAUGAGGAAGAUUCAGAGGCAAGCAUGGUUGUUCUCGGCGAGAACCAUCCAAAAGAUCUAGCACCUAUGACGUGAAUAUGGUGGACAAAUUGGUGGAUCCUGCUUUUCCAGCGCCAUUGCCUGUUGUUAUUUUGAGCUCAAGCGAUGAGGAAAAUACCCAAGUGUAAUUGUUCUUGGAAAGGAUGACUUGCAGAACCCUCAAAAAGAUCUAGCACCAAUGAUGUGGAGAUGGUGGACAAAGCGGUGGAUCCACAUGCUUUUUCGGUUCCUUUGCUCGGUUUUAGGGGAAUUGUAAUAGUAAACUAUCAUUUAAACUCAUUUGUGUAGGCAAUCGUUUGCUAAUUCUGGGUUUAUCUCCAUAGCCAUCCAUUCGUUGCUUCUGUAAAUUAGAUUAUGGUUUGGAGUGUUGUUGCUCAUCAGUCAUUAGUUGCUUUUGUAUGCUUUCUAUGCAGCGAAUGAGACAUUUGACAGAUUCAUAUUGAAA